rnacentral:rRNA from 1 species
AUUGAACGCUGGCGGCAUGCCUUACACAUGCAAGUCGAGCGGCAGCGCGGGGGCAACCCUCGGCGGCGAGCGGCGAACGGGUGAGUAAUGCAUCGGAACGUGUCCUUUUGUUGGGGGAUAACCAGUCGAAAGACUGGCUAAUACCGCAUGAGCUCGUAAGAGGAAAGCAGGGGACCCGCAAGGGCCUUGCGCGAGAGGAGCGGCCGAUGCCCGAUUAGCUAGGGUU